AGAGAGCUGUGAAAGCCUGUUUGCAGAUGAGGUCCCAAUGAAGAGAAGUGGUUCUCAGUCCUGGUCCUGGGGACUCAAAGGGGUGCACAUUUUAGUUUUUGCCUUAGCACUACACAGCUGAUGCAAAUGAUCAACUCAUCAAGCUUCAAGUGGUCUUCAUGUAUGCAUUUGUGAUGUUAUCUUUGAUACCUUCCAACUGGAGAUUCCUUCAAAACAACUGCUGACAAUUGCCAUGUAGGGCACUGCCUCGUGGGGGAAUUCAAGUAUGUGUGAAAGCUAUCUGUGUCCUGCAUAACUUCAUGAUGGACAUGAGGACCAGGAGGGGACCUGCAGCUUGCCGCUGUCUGCCAUAGGAGAGGUCUGCUGCUCUGCAGGAUGUUGCAAGGAUGGGGGCCAACAACACAGCACGGGAGGCAAUCCGUAUGCGGGAGAUCUUCACCUCCUACGUCUUCGAAGAGGGUGCUGUUCCCUGGCAACACCAUAGACUACACUAUGCACAACUCUUUUAAGAGCCACUCACAUUGCAAUAAGAGUAUUCUUCCAUUUACUUAUUUAUGUCAACUACAGUUGUUCAAUUACCAUUUUCUCUCCCUUGGAUUUCUACUUCUCAGGUGAGGGCGCUGUUCAGGAUAAGGGGGAUGUCUAUACAAAAACAACAGGCUCUUUUAAGAGUCACCCAUGUUGAAAAAAAUGUAGAACAACUAGACACCCUACAACCCAAACCUACAGUACACACUCGUGUAUCAAUCUGAUUGAUGGAUUGUGUUGUGCAGUAAGCAGACUCCCCUGUAUAACAGUGGCUCCUUCCACCUUCAAAGAAUAAGCAAGAGGACCAAACAUGGAGAAUAAUAAGACACUCAAUUAUUUAUAUUUAUGCAUCGACGCUAUUUGUUUGUCCUAGUGUGCCUCGUCUGUUUUUCAGUAUAAAGUACUCUGCAGCCACUCCGUGUGGGACACCAGGUGAGGCCACACACAAAAAUUCCUGUUGAACACGGUGUAACGGUUUUCAUCGUCUGAAGAAGAGUAGUCGGACCAAAGCGCAGUGGGGUAAGUGUUCAUGCUUUUUUAUUAGAGCAGAACACUAUAACAAAAUAACAAGAGAAUAAAAUGAAACCGAAACAGUCCUGUAAGGUGCAAAACACUAAACAGAAAAUAACUACCCACAAAAACCAUGUGGGAAAAAGAUACCUAAGUAUGGUUCUCAAUCAGAGACAACGAUAGACAACUGCCUCUGAUUGAGAACCACACCCGGCCAAACACAAAGAAAUACAAAACAUAGAAAAUGAACAUAGAAUGCCCACCCAAAUCACACCCUGACCAAAACAAAAUAGAGACAUAAACAGCUCUCUACGGUCAGGGCGUGACACUUUAACUAACUUAUUUUUUCAAUAAGUCUCUCUCCUUCACUUCAUCUCCCUCCCCCUUCUCUCUAAAUCCUCUAUGUUAUAUCAGCUGUAUCGGUAAACCCUUCCAGCUUGUGAACUGCCUGACACAGAGGGCACAGCAUGAUCAGAGGUGAAAAGCAUCAAAAGUCGUGCUAUAAAUUCUCAGACAACACAAAGAUUCCUUGAUGCCCUUCCAGACUCCCUCUGCCUACCCAAGGACGUCAGAGGACAAAAAUCAGUUAACCACCUAACUGAGAAACUCAAUUUAACCUUGCGCAAUACCUUAGAUGCAGUCGCACCCCUAUAAACUAAAAACAUUUGUCAUAAGAAACUAGCUCCCUGGUUUACAGAAAAUACCCGAGCUCUGAAGCAAGCUUCCAGAAAACUGGAACGGAAAUGGCGCCACACCAAACUGGAAGUCUUCCAACUAGCUUGGAAAGACAGUACCGUGCAGUAUCGAAGAACCCUCACUGCUGCUCGAUCAUCCUAUUUUUCCAACUUAAUUGAGGAAAAUAAGAACAUUCCGAAAUGUAUUUUUGAUACUGUCGCAAAGCUAACUAAAAAGCAGCAUUCCCCAAGUGAGGAUGGCUUUCACUUCAGCAGUAAUAAAUUCAUGAACUUCUUUGAGGAAAAGAUCAUGAUCAUUAGAAAGCAAAUUACGGACUCCUCUUUAAAUCUGCGUAUUCCUCCAAAGCUCAGUUGUCCUGCGUCUGCACAACUCUGCCAGGACCUAGGAUCAAGAGAGACACUUAAGUGUUUUAGUACUAUAUCUCUUGACACAAUGAUGAAAAUAAUCAUGGCCUCUUAACCUUCAAGCUGCAUACUGGACCCUAUUCCAACUAAACUACUGAAAGAGCUGCUUCCUGUGCUUGGCACUCCUAUGUUGAACAUAAUAAAUGGCUCUCUAUCCACGGGAUGUGUACCAAACUCACUAAAAGUGGCAGUAAUAAAGCCUCUCUUGAAAAAGCCAAACCUUGACCCAGAAAAUAUUAAAAACUAUCGGCCUAUAUUGAAUCUUCCAUUCCUCUCAAUUUAAAAAAAAAAGCUUUUGCACAGCAACUCACUGCCUUCCUGAAGACAAACAAGGUAUACGAAAUGUUUCAGUCUGCUUUUAGACCCCAUCAUAGCACUGAGACUGCACUUGUGAAGGUGGUAAAUUACCUUUUAAUGGCAUCAGACCGAGGCUCUGCAUCUGUCCUCGUGCUCGUAGACCUUACUGCUGCUUUUGAUUCCAUCGAUCACCACAUUCUUUUGGAGAGAUUGGAAACCCAAAUUGGUCUACACGGACAAGUUCUGGCCUGGUCUAGAUCUUAUCUGUCGGAAAGAUAUCAGUUUGUCUCUGUGAAUGGUUUGUCCUGUGACAAAUCAACUGUAAAUUUCGGUGUUGCUCAAGGUUCCGUUUUAGGACCACUAUUGUUUUCACUAUAUAUUUUACCUCUUGGGGAUGUCAUUCGAAAACAUAAUGUUAACUUUCACUGCUAUGUGGAUGACACACAGCUGUACAUUCCAAUGAAACAUGGUGAAGCCCCAACAUUGCCCUCGCUAGAAGCAUGUGUUUCAGACAUAAGGAAGUGGAUGGCUGCAAACGUUCUACUUUUAAACUCGGACAAAACAGAGAUGCUUGUUCUAGGUCCCAAGAAACAAAGAGAUCUUCUGUUGAGUCUGACAAUUAAUCUUGAUGGUUGUAAAGUCGUCUCAAAUAAAACUGUGAAGGACCUCGGCGUUACUCUGGACCCUGAUCUCUCUUUUGACGAACAUAUCAAGACUGUUUCAAGGACAGCUUUUUUCCAUCUAUGUAACAUUGCAAAAAUCUGAAACUUUCUGUCCAAAAAUGAUGCAGAAAAAUGAAUCCAUGCUUUUGUUACUUCUAGGUUAGACUACUGCAAUGUUCUACUUUCCGGCUACCCUGAUAAAGCACUAAAUAAACUUCAGUUAGUGCUAAAUACGGCUGCUAGAAUCCUGACUAGAACCCAUAAAUGUGAUCAUAUUACUCCAGUGCUAGCCUCCCUACACUGGCUUCCUGUUAAGGCAAGGGCUGAUUUCAAUGUUUUACUGCUAACCUAUAAAGCAUUACAUGGGCUUGCUCCUACCUAUCUUUCCGAUUUGGUCCGGCCAUACAUAUCUACACGUACGCUAUGGUCACAAGAUGCAGGCCUCCUAAUUGUCCCUAGAAUUUCUAAGCAAACAGCUGGAGGCAGGGCUUUCUCCUAUAGAGCUCCAUUUUUAUGGAAUGGUCUGCCUACCCAUGUGAGAGACGUAGACUCGGUCUCAACCUUUAAGUCUUUACUGAAGACUCAUCUAUUGGGUGGGUCAUAUGAUUGAGUGUAGUCUGGCCCAGGAGUGUGAAGGAGUGUGAAGGAGUGUGAAGGUGAAUGGAAAGGCUCUGGAGCAACGAACCGCCCUUGCUGUCUCUGCCUGGCCGGUUCCCCUCUCUCCACUGGGAUUCUCUGCCUCUAACCCUAUUACAGGGGCUGAGUCACUGGCUUACUGGUGCUCUUUCAUGCCGUCCCUAGGAGGAGUGUGUCACUAACAUGAGUGGGUUGAGUCACUGACGUGAUCUUCCUGUCUGGGUUGACGCCCCCCCUUGGGUUGUGCCGUGGCGGAGAUCUUUGUGGGCUAUACUCGACCUUGUCUCAGGAUGGUAAGUUGGUGGUUGAAGUUAUCCCUCUAGUGGUGUGGGGGCUGUGCUUUGGCAAAGUGGGUGGGGUUAUAUCCUUCCUGUUUGGCCCUGUCCGGGGGUAUCAUCGGAUGGGGCCACAGUGUCUCCUGACCCCUCCUGUCUCAGCCUCCAGUAUUUAUGCUGCCGUAGUUUAUGUGUCGGGGGCUAGGGUCAGUUUGUUAAAUCUGGAGUACUUCUCCUGUCUUAUCCGGUGUCGUGUGAAUUUAAGUAUGCUCUCUCUAAUUCUCUCUUUCUCUCUUUCUUUCUCUCUCUCGGAGGACUUGAGCCCUAGGACCAUGCCUCAGGACUACCUGGCAUCAUGACUCCUUGCUGUCCCCAGUCCACCUGGCCGUGCUGCAGCUCCAGUUUCAACUGUUCUGCCUGCGGCUAUGGAACACUGACCUGUUCACCGGACAUGCUACCUGUCCCAGACCUGCUGUUUUCAACUCUCUAGAGACAGCAGGAGCGGUAGAGAUACUCUUAAUGAUCGGCUAUGAAAAGACAACUGACAUUUACUUCUGAGGUACUGUAUGUUUUGAUGUGAGAGAGGAUUCCAACUCCCAGUCCCGUCAUUUCCACCUCACCUGCUCUAAGAUAACUCACGGGCCUACUGGGUGCCCAAGGCUGGUUAGGAAACACUGCUAGACACUUAUGUAAUUGUGUUGACCUGAGAGAAUAUGAAGUUUAGUAGCACUAUAAUUCAUUCAUCAUAUGCUAUCUUCCCUGCCCUCAGUUCUUAACUCUUUCCCUUUGUCUUUUACACUCUCACACCUCUCUCCCAAACUUCUUUCUUCCUGUGUUUUUAUAAUGCACACCAGAUGUGCAUUGAAGUACAGAUUGAACUUGCAUUUAUAAUAUCAUACUACAAU